AAUUAAUAAUUUGCAAUUACAGUGGAACCCCGAUUAUCCGUGCUCCUCGGGACCGUGUGGCGUUCCGCCCCUUAUAGAAUCAAGUAUUGUUGGGAAGAUAAUAUUUAAUCAUUGAAAAUAUUAUUUAAAUAUUUUCGGGAUUAAUUUCUUUCAAUGUUUAUUAAGAUACAACGUAAAGCAAAAACAUAAUUGUUAAAUGCUUACUGAUGUCACAUUUAAACGUGGCAACCUUGGUUCCCUCGCGUUGACAGUUAAUGAUUAGGAGAGGGGUACGAAGAACUUCAGCUGGUAACUGAAGGCCGUGAACGGGUCAUUGUUCUCCAGUGUACGGUCUAGGUAGCGGGGUCGUUUGAACGAAAUUAUUCACCUAUAAUUCAAAGUUCCAAAUGUAUUAAAGAUUACCAUAAAUACUAUAGUGAAGUUAUCCAGCAGUGAACAGUGAAGUUGAAGAAUUUUGGAGAAUAUUAUAUACAAUGAGUUCCGCCCCGCACCUACCAUGAAAUCUUAAGGUCACCUAACAACCACACCAAGGCCAGACCACACUGAGAGAAACAAUCACUAGGCGACCAGCCUGGAUUAUUUCCACACAUUUUCGUUUGAGUACCUCCAGCUGCUUUCCACCAGUCUUGAGUACCUUCAGCUGCUUUCUACCAGUCUUCCUCUCCUGUACCUCCAGCAGGACAGCUGCUAGCGAGAGUUAGCACCCUUGGGUGCUCAUUACAUCAACUCGAAGAUUGUGUAAAAGGGGUUUGUUUGGGAACAGUUACUGUGCUAUUAGUAAAGACAGACUGUUUUUGUGAUAUUUAGUACAUUUUUAUAGUUCGAUUGCACACACAUUUUUCUUGUUUUAUAUUUUAUGGUAUUUUUUCCUUAACAACAUAAUAUUUAAUUAAUAGCGUUCCCCAAUACUCUGCAAUAUCUAAGGUAAAGAUCUCUGAGCUCAGAUAUUUUCCCCUACAAUAGUAGUCGGUACUCCUAUUUUGAUUAUUUUUAUGCUGGUUUCCAUUUUUAUAUAAUUAUUUAAACUCAUUUCAUUAUUUUAGUAUAGGUUGAAUUAGAUUUUUCAAAAUUAACUUCAGACAUUAUUCAAAAUUUCAAUUAUUAACUUUAUUUUAACUUUAACUCAUUAAAUUCCUAUAAACUUCUGGACUCGAUUCCCUCAGAAUCGUUUCUGGUUUCACUUGCUAUUAUUAUUAUAAACUACGAGUUAGAAAAGAAUGUGGCGUUCCGCCCCUUAUAGAAUCAAGUAUUGUUGGGAAGAUAAUAUUUAAUCAUUGAAAAUAUUAUUUAAAUAUUUUCGGGAUUAAUUUCUUUCAAUGUUUAUUAAGAUACAACGUAAAGCAAAAACAUAAUUGUUAAAUGCUUACUGAUGUCACAUUUAAACGUGGCAACCUUGGUUCCCUCGCGUUGACAGUUAAUGAUUAGGAGAGGGGUACGAAGAACUUCAGCUGGUAACUGAAGGCCGUGAACGGGUCAUUGUUCUCCAGUGUACGGUCUAGGUAGCGGGGUCGUUUGAACGAAAUUAUUCACCUAUAAUUCAAAGUUCCAAAUGUAUUAAAGAUUACCAUAAAUACUAUAGUGAAGUUAUCCAGCAGUGAACAGUGAAGUUGAAGAAUUUUGGAGAAUAUUAUAUACAAUGAGUUCCGCCCCGGUAAAUACACAUUUAUUAAUUAUUUUAUUCAGCCAUUUUGGAAGUCCUUGACAUUUGCUAAUUAAGUUUCACAUAGUCUGUUUUCAUGGUUUUUAUGGUUUAUUUUCAUGGAUCAAACUCAUCUAGAGAUAAUUGAAUGUUCGUUGUUAAUUUGUGCUUCCAGUUGAAAAAUAGAGCUAAUUUAAACUCAAUUUUUUAUAUUCCUUUCAAGUCUACGGAUCUCCUAUAAGUAUCCAUUGCCUAGUCAUACUAUAUUUUAUCCUUGUAUAAUAUAUCUGUAGACCUGUGUAUAUAUUAUAAUAAAAUAUUGUUCCACAGUAAUUAUAUUUUGUAUUUAAAUUGGAAAUUACAUGUGUUAUUUGACCAAGGUCAUCUGAUAACAACUUGAUAAAAGGUCAAGCUGUCUAGUCAUUCAAGUUUUUGGACUUAAUGACCUAUUUCUUCUUAUUCCCAUAGGAAUAAAAACACUUCCUCGUAUCUCUUGCUUCUUUUUUUUGACAUUGGGAGAUUGGUAGUAACACCACACUGUGUUUUUUUUAGCACCUACCAUGAAAUCUUAAGGUCACCUAACAACCACACCAAGGCCAGACCACACUGAGAGAAACAAUCACUAGGCGACCAGCCUGGAUUAUUUCCACACAUUUUCGUUUGAGUACCUCCAGCUGCUUUCCACCAGUCUUGAGUACCUUCAGCUGCUUUCUACCAGUCUUCCUCUCCUGUACCUCCAGCAGGACAGCUGCUAGCGAGAGUUAGCACCCUUGGGUGCUCAUUACAUCAACUCGAAGAUUGUGUAAAAGGGGUUUGUUUGGGAACAGUUACUGUGCUAUUAGUAAAGACAGACUGUUUUUGUGAUAUUUAGUACAUUUUUAUAGUUCGAUUGCACACACAUUUUUCUUGUUUUAUAUUUUAUGGUAUUUUUUCCUUAACAACAUAAUAUUUAAUUAAUAGCGUUCCCCAAUACUCUGCAAUAUCUAAGGUAAAGAUCUCUGAGCUCAGAUAUUUUCCCCUACAAUAGUAGUCGGUACUCCUAUUUUGAUUAUUUUUAUGCUGGUUUCCAUUUUUAUAUAAUUAUUUAAACUCAUUUCAUUAUUUUAGUAUAGGUUGAAUUAGAUUUUUCAAAAUUAACUUCAGACAUUAUUCAAAAUUUCAAUUAUUAACUUUAUUUUAACUUUAACUCAUUAAAUUCCUAUAAACUUCUGGACUCGAUUCCCUCAGAAUCGUUUCUGGUUUCACUUGCUAUUAUUAUUAUAAACUACGAGUUAGAAAAGGAUCUGUUGUAUCCAACCGUAAGUUUAUUUAUUCGAUAAAGGCUUGUGCCUGUCCAACUCACAUUGAGUUAUUUAUAUAUUAUUUACCAUAUCAGGUAGUAUUUAAUUAAGGUGUACGUAUUAUAAACGUACAAUUAUUAGUUGGUGAAGGUUCUACUAACCUAGGUGUAAGUUGUACUUUCUGUAUUAGAGGUACCCUUCUUCAGAUUUUCUAACCUUAUUAAGAUUAUUCUUAGAUCACAUUUGUGUGAUAAUUUUGUAAUUGACUUUCACUAGUAUCAUUUUUUUUGUCAUUUUAGAGUCACAAACUAGUUACUUGUCUUAACUCGGAGAUUGUGAACAUCUAGUAGUUAAAUUUAAUAAAUUUAUAUUUAUUGUG